rnacentral:rRNA from 1 species
AUUGGACGCUGGCGGCAUGCCUUACACAUGCAAGUCGAACGGCAGCACGGGAGCAACCCUGGUGGCGAGUGGCGAACGGGUGAGUAAAGUAUCGGAACGUGCCCAGUUGUGGGGGAUAACGUAGCGAAAGUUACGCUAAUACCGCAUACGAUCUAUGGAUGAAAGCGGGGGAUCGCAAGACCUCGCGCGAUUGGAGCGGCCGAUAUCAGAUUAGGUAGUUGGUGGGGUAAAGGCUCACCAAGCCGACGAUCUGUAGCUGGUCUGAGAGGACGACCAGCCACCCUGGGACUGAGACACGGCCCAGACUCCUACGGGAGGCAGCAGUGGGGAAUUUUGGACAAUGGGCGAAAGCCUGAUCCAGCCAUGCCGCGUGCAGGAUGAAGGCCUUCGGGUUGUAAACUGCUUUUGUACGGAACGAAAAGGUUUGGGCUAAUAAGCUGAGCUCAUGACGGUACCGUAAGAAUAAGCACCGGCUAACUACGUGCCAGCCGCCGCAGUAA